rnacentral:rRNA from 1 species
UACAGAGGGUGCGAGCGUUGUCCGGAAUUACUGGGCGUAAAGGGCGCGUAGGCGGUUCGAUAAGUCGGGGGUGAAAUGCUGCGGCUCAACCGGAGCAUGGCCUUCGAGACUGUCGAGCUGGAGCACGGUAGAGGCUGGCGGAAUUCCUGGUGUAGCGGUGGAAUGCGUAGAGAUCAGGAAGAACACCGGUGGCGAAGGCGACCAGCUGGGCCGUUGCUGACGCUGAGGCGCGACAGCGUGGGGAGCAAACAGG